rnacentral:tRNA from 1 species
GGGGUUGUGGCUCAGUGGUGGAGUGCUCCUCUAGCACAUGUGAGGCCCUGGGUUCGAUCAUCAGCACCACA